AUGGUUCGCAAGAAGGUGCCCCUCCGGUACAUCGGCGAGGACUCCAUCCGUCGCCGUACCUACGAGACGCGCCGCAACUACCUGAUGAAGAAGGUGGGCGAGUUGGGCAUCCUGUGCAACACCAAGGCCUGCGUGCUGGUGUAUGACGAGGGCGCGUCGGAGCCGGAUGUUUACCCGUCCCAUGCUGAGGCGGUGGCUAUGUUGAAUCGAUACAAGGCCAUGCCGAACAUGCCGCAGUUCAAGAAGACGACGAGCCAGGAGGAGUUCCUCACCAAGUGCCUCGCCAAGCUCCAGCAUCAGGCCAACAAGCUCCAGAGCGAGCGUGAGGACCGCAACAUCAGGGCCCUCCUGCACAAGGCCAUGCUCGGUGGCAACCUCAGCGCCGAGGAGGUCGCCAGGGUUGGUUGUAAGCCGGGGGAGAUCCACAAGAGCCUCGUCGAGCGCAUCGCUAAAAGCAACUCGCAGCCGCCGGUCUUCCAGUCCCAAGCGCCAUACAUCACCGGCAGCGCC
rnacentral:rRNA from 1 species